rnacentral:rRNA from 1 species
UACAGAGGGUGCGAGCGUUAAUCGGAAUUACUGGGCGUAAAGCGUGCGUAGACGGUAGCGUAAGUCAGAUGUGAAAGCCCCGGGCUCAACCUGGGAAUUGCAUUUGAGACUGCUCUGCUCGGGUGCGGAAGAGGGAAGCGGAAUUUCGGUGUAGCGGUGAAAUGCGUAGAUAUCGGAAGGAACACCAGUGGCGAAAGCGGCUU